CAGAUAAGUGAAAAUUUACUUAAAGUUACAUUGUGUAAGAAUAUCUCCCAUCUAGCGGUGAAAUUGUAUAUGAAAAAAUACUGAACAUUACUUUCCAGCCCCUCCCAUUCCGAGCACGUUUUAACUUCUACGGUGGCCGUAUUAUUCCAAGAAUUACGACUUUGUCCGUGAGUGUUCCUUCCAGUGUAAUGAUAGUUUUACGUUUUCUUUAUUUUGGUACCAUUUCAUUGCUAAUAUCAGCUGU